rnacentral:rRNA from 1 species
UAGGGAAUCUUCCGCAAUGGACGCAAGUCUGACGGAGCAACGCCGCGUGAGUGAAGAAGGAUUUCGGUUCGUAAAACUCUGUUGUUAGAGAAGAACAGCGCAUAGAGUAACUGUUAUGCGUGUGACGGUAUCUAACCAGAAAGCCACGGCUAACUACGUGCAAGCAGCCGCGGUAAUACGUAGGUGGCAAGCGUUGUCCGGAUUUAUUGGGCGUAAAGCGAGCGCAGGCGGUCAAUUAAGUCUGAUGUGAAAGCCCCCGGCUCAACCGGGGAGGGUCAUUGGAAACUGGUUGACUUGAGUGCAGAAGAGGAGAGUAGAAUUCCAUGUGUAGCGGUGAAAUGCGUAGAUAUAUGGGGGAACACCAGUGGCGAAGGCGACUCUCUGGUCUGUAACUGACGCUGAGGCUCGAAAGCGUGGGGAGCGAACAGG